rnacentral:rRNA from 1 species
AUUGAACGCUGGCGGCAGGCCUAACACAUGCAAGUCGAGCGGAUGAAGGGAGCUUGCUCCUGGAUUCAGCGGCGGACGGGUGAGUAAUGCCUAGGAAUCUGCCUGGUAGUGGGGGAUAACGUCCGGAAACGGGCGCUAAUACCGCAUACGUCCUGAGGGAGAAAGUGGGGGAUCUUCGGAUCUCACGCUAUCAGAUGAGCCUAGGUCGGAUUAGCUAGUUGGUGGGGUAAAGGCCUACCAAGGCGACGAUCCGUAACUGGUCUGAGAGGAUGAUCAGUCACACUGGAACUGAGACACGGUCCAGACUCCUACGGGAGGCAGCAGUGGGGAAUAUUGGACAAUGGGCGAAAGCCUGAUCCAGCCAUGCCGCGUGUGUGAAGAAGGUCUUAGGAUUGUAAAGCACUUUAAGUUGGGAGGAAGGGAAGUAAGUUAAUACCUUGCUGUUUUGACGGUACCAACAGAAUAAGCACCGGCUAACUUCGUG